ACGUUAUUAAGUUGGUGCAAAUGUAAUUGUGGAUUUUGCCAUUGAAAGUAAUGGCCCAAACUGUAAUUACUUAUGUACCAACCCAAUAUUUAGUC
rnacentral:miRNA from 1 species